rnacentral:rRNA from 1 species
UGAGGAAUAUUGGGGCAAUGGAGGGAACUCUGACCCAGCAACGCCGCGUGAAGGAAGAAGGUUUUCGGAUUGUAAACUUCUGUUAUAGGGGAAAAAGAAAGUGAUGGUACCCUAUGAGAAAGCUACGGCAAACUAUGUGCCAGCAGCCGCGGUAAUACAUAGGUAGCGAGCGUUAUCCGGAAUAACUGGGCGUAAAGGGAGUGUAGGUGGCAUGCCAAGUCUUGUGUGAAAGCCCUCGGCUUAACUGAGGAAGUGCACAAGAAACUGGCGCGCUAGAGUGCGAGAGAGGCAAGUGGAAUUCCUAGUGUAGCGGUAGAAUGCGUAGAGAUUAGGAGGAACACCAGAGGCGAAGGCGACUUGCUGGCUCGCAACUGACACUGAGACUCGAAAGCGUGGGGAGCAAACAGGAUUAGAUACCCUGGUAGU